rnacentral:rRNA from 1 species
CCUACGGGUUGCACCAGUGGGGAAUAUUGGACAAUGGGCAAAAGCCUGAUCCAGCAAUGCCGCGUGUGUGAAGAAGGUCUUCGGAUUGUAAAGCACUUUCGACGGGGACGAUGAUGACGGUACCCGUAGAAGAAGCCCCGGCUAACUUCGUGCCAGCAGCCGCGGUAAUACGAAGGGGGCUAGUGUUGCUCGGAAUAACUGGGCGUAAAGGGCGCGUAGGCGGUUUAUGCAGUCAGAUGUGAAAUCCCCGGCUUAACCUGGGAACUGCAUUUGAGACGCAUAGACUAGAGGUCGAGAGAGGGUUGUGGAAUUUCCAGUGUAGAGGUGAAAUUCGUAGAUAUUGGGGAGAACACCGGUGGCGAAGGCGGCAACCUGGCUCGAUACUGACGCUGAGGCGCGAGAGCGUGGGGAGCAAACAGGAUUAGAUACCCUCGUAGUC